AAGUAGGUGAAGGCUAAAUAUUCUAGCUUGUGUAGGUAGGAGGCAUGCCAAUUAUCCCUGUCCAUGUCCCCUUAAUUGAUAGUUAUUUUAACCUCUAAACUGCUAAACAGUUGAAUCCCCAAUAAUUACAUUGGUGUCAGUCUGAUCAGAUUUUUUUUUUCUAACUUUUUUGCUGCAACUGGCUAGCAAGAGCAGGGAAGCCCACCCCCACACACGACGCCCCACGGCUUCUUCUUUUGUUUAACAAUUUGCCCAUCAGCUGCUAAUGUUGCCAUAAGGCAAUUAGUUCAGAUUUAAAUAAAUUUGAAGGUUAAAUAGCAAGUUAAUUGUUUCACCAGAUUUCCCAGUAUCUGGGCAAGAUCCAGUAGAAAUCAGGCAUACAUUUGUUGUUUGUAAA